GGUCGCUCGAUGGUUUUUCAGGUUCAGUAAAGUAAGAAACUGUUGGUCCUAUUCUGAAUUCUAAUAAUGUUGAUCACCAGGGAGAGGGAGAUCAGAGGACGGAUGGAAGGGAUGGCGACAAUGUUAUAUUCGAAAGGGAAUAACGCUGGAAUACCUUGCUAUUGCUACCUGUCAGAGUGCAUAAUUAUGAAGUAAAUUACUUGGCACUGCUUAGUUGCCAAACUUGACAGUUGCUAAGACCUUCUGUCGACAAGAUACACAAACAUACAAUUCCAUGGUACUAUGUAGAGUAUUCAAAGAGGUCAUCUUCAUGAAGCUAGCAGAGGAUAGACAUUAG